CACGUAGGGUGCGAGCGUUGUCCGGAAUUAUUGGGCGUAAAGAGCUCGUAGGCGGUGUGUCGCGUCGGCCGUGAAAACCUGCAGCUUAACUGUGGGCUUGCGGUCGAUACGGGCAUCACUGGAGUUCGGCAGGGGAGACUGGAAUUCCUGGUGUAGCAGUGAAAUGCGUAGAUAUCAGGAGGAAUACCGAUGGCGAAGGCAGAUCUCUGGGCCGUAACUGACGCUGAGGAGCGAAAGCGUGGGGAGCGAACAGG
rnacentral:rRNA from 1 species